rnacentral:rRNA from 1 species
GGUUAAGCGACUAAGCGUACACGGUGGAUGCCCUGGCAGUCAGAGGCGAUGAAGGACGUGCUAAUCUGCGAUAAGCGUCGGUAAGGUGAUAUGAACCGUUAUAACCGGCGAUUUCCGAAUGGGGAAACCCAGUGUGUUUCGACACACUAUCAUUAACUGAAUCCAUAGGUUAAUGAGGCGAACCGGGGGAACUGAAACAUCUAAGUACCCCGAGGAAAAGAAAUCAACCGAGAUUCCCCCAGUAGCGGCGAGCGAACGGGGAGGAGCCCAGAGCCUGAAUCAGUGUGUGUGUUAGUGGAAGCGUCUGGAAAGGCGCGCGAUACAGGGUGACAGCCCCGUACACAAAAAUGCACAUGCUGUGAGCUCGAUGAGUAGGGCGGGACACGUGGUAUCCUGUCUGAAUAUGGGGGGACCAUCCUCCAAGGCUAAAUACUCCUGACUGACCGAUAGUGAACCAGUACCGUGAGGGAAAGGCGAAAAGAACCCCGGCGAGGGGAGUGAAAAAGAACCUGAAACCGUGUACGUACAAGCAGUGGGAGCCUCUUUUAUGGGGUGACUGCGUACCUUUUGUAUAAUGGGUCAGCGACUUAUAUUCUGUAGCAAGGUUAACCGAAUAGGGGAGCCGAAGGGAAACCGAGUCUUAACUGGGCGUUAAGUUGCAGGGUAUAGACCCGAAACCCGGUGAUCUAGCCAUGGGCAGGUUGAAGGUUGGGUAACACUAACUGGAGGACCGAACCGACUAAUGUUGAAAAAUUAGCGGAUGACUUGUGGCUGGGGGUGAAAGGCCAAUCAAACCGGGAGAUAGCUGGUUCUCCCCGAAAGCUAUUUAGGUAGCGCCUCGUGAAUUCAUCUCCGGGGGUAGAGCACUGUUUCGGCAAGGGGGUCAUCCCGACUUACCAACCCGAUGCAAACUGCGAAUACCGGAGAAUGUUAUCACGGGAGACACACGGCGGGUGCUAACGUCCGUCGUGAAGAGGGAAACAACCCAGACCGCCAGCUAAGGUCCCAAAGUCAUGGUUAAGUGGGAAACGAUGUGGGAAGGCCCAGACAGCCAGGAUGUUGGCUUAGAAGCAGCCAUCAUUUAAAGAAAGCGUAAUAGCUCACUGGUCGAGUCGGCCUGCGCGGAAGAUGUAACGGGGCUAAACCAUGCACCGAAGCUGCGGCAGCGACACUAUGUGUUGUUGGGUAGGGGAGCGUUCUGUAAGCCUGUGAAGGUGUGCUGUGAGGCAUGCUGGAGGUAUCAGAAGUGCGAAUGCUGACAUAAGUAACGAUAAAGCGGGUGAAAAGCCCGCUCGCCGGAAGACCAAGGGUUCCUGUCCAACGUUAAUCGGGGCAGGGUGAGUCGACCCCUAAGGCGAGGCCGAAAGGCGUAGUCGAUGGGAAACAGGUUAAUAUUCCUGUACUUGGUGUUACUGCGAAGGGGGGACGGAGAAGGCUAUGUUGGCCGGGCGACGGUUGUCCCGGUUUAAGCGUGUAGGCUGGUUUUCCAGGCAAAUCCGGAAAAUCAAGGCUGAGGCGUGAUGACGAGGCACUACGGUGCUGAAGCAACAAAUGCCCUGCUUCCAGGAAAAGCCUCUAAGCAUCAGGUAACAUCAAAUCGUACCCCAAACCGACACAGGUGGUCAGGUAGAGAAUACCAAGGCGCUUGAGAGAACUCGGGUGAAGGAACUAGGCAAAAUGGUGCCGUAACUUCGGGAGAAGGCACGCUGAUAUGUAGGUGAAGUCCCUCGCGGAUGGAGCUGAAAUCAGUCGAAGAUACCAGCUGGCUGCAACUGUUUAUUAAAAACACAGCACUGUGCAAACACGAAAGUGGACGUAUACGGUGUGACGCCUGCCCGGUGCCGGAAGGUUAAUUGAUGGGGUCAGCGCAAGCGAAGCUCUUGAUCGAAGCCCCGGUAAACGGCGGCCGUAACUAUAACGGUCCUAAGGUAGCGAAAUUCCUUGUCGGGUAAGUUCCGACCUGCACGAAUGGCGUAAUGAUGGCCAGGCUGUCUCCACCCGAGACUCAGUGAAAUUGAACUCGCUGUGAAGAUGCAGUGUACCCGCGGCAAGACGGAAAGACCCCGUGAACCUUUACUAUAGCUUGACACUGAACAUUGAGCCUUGAUGUGUAGGAUAGGUGGGAGGCUUUGAAGUGUGGACGCCAGUCUGCAUGGAGCCGACCUUGAAAUACCACCCUUUAAUGUUUGAUGUUCUAACGUGGACCCGUAAUCCGGGUUGCGGACAGUGUCUGGUGGGUAGUUUGACUGGGGCGGUCUCCUCCUAAAGAGUAACGGAGGAGCACGAAGGUUGGCUAAUCCUGGUCGGACAUCAGGAGGUUAGUGCAAUGGCAUAAGCCAGCUUGACUGCGAGCGUGACGGCGCGAGCAGGUGCGAAAGCAGGUCAUAGUGAUCCGGUGGUUCUGAAUGGAAGGGCCAUCGCUCAACGGAUAAAAGGUACUCCGGGGAUAACAGGCUGAUACCGCCCAAGAGUUCAUAUCGACGGCGGUGUUUGGCACCUCGAUGUCGGCUCAUCACAUCCUGGGGCUGAAGUAGGUCCCAAGGGUAUGGCUGUUCGCCAUUUAAAGUGGUACGCGAGCUGGGUUUAGAACGUCGUGAGACAGUUCGGUCCCUAUCUGCCGUGGGCGCUGGAGAACUGAGGGGGGCUGCUCCUAGUACGAGAGGACCGGAGUGGACGCAUCACUGGUGUUCGGGUUGUCAUGCCAAUGGCACUGCCCGGUAGCUAAAUGCGGAAGAGAUAAGUGCUGAAAGCAUCUAAGCACGAAACUUGCCCCGAGAUGAGUUCUCCCUGACUCCUUGAGAGUCCUGAAGGAACGUUGAAGACGACGACGUUGAUAGGCCGGGUGUGUAAGCGCAGCGAUGCGUUGAGCUAACCGGUACUAAUGAACCGUGAGGCUUAACCUU